GAUGAACGCUAGCUACAGGCUUAACACAUGCAAGUCGAGGGGCAGCAUGAACUUAGCUUGCUAAGUUUGAUGGCGACCGGCGCACGGGUGAGUAACACGUAUCCAACCUGCCGAUGACUCGGGGAUAGCCUUUCGAAAGAAAGAUUAAUACCCGAUGGCAUAGUUCUUCCGCAUGGUAGAACUAUUAAAGAAUUUCGGUCAUCGAUGGGGAUGCGUUCCAUUAGCUUGUUGGCGGGGUAACGGCCCACCAAGGCGACGAUCAGUAGCCGGCCUGAGAGGGUGGACGGCCACAUUGGGACUGAGACACGGCCCAA
rnacentral:rRNA from 1 species